ACCUAAUAGAUACCCAGGUAGUCCACGCCGUAAACGUUGGGCGCUAGGUGUAGGGGACCUUCCACGUCCUCUGUGCCGCAGCUAAACGCAUUAAGCGCCCCGCCUGGGGAGUACGGCCGCAAGGCUAAAACUCAAAGGAAUUGACGGGGGCCCGCACAAGCGGCGGAGCAUGUGGCUUAAAUUCGAUGCAACGCGAAGAACCUUACCUGGGUUUGACAUGUACGGAAAUCCGGCAGAGACGUCGGGUCCGCAAGGGUCGUACACAGGUGGUGCAUGGUUGUCGUCAGCUCGUGUCGUGAGAUGUUGGGUUAAGUCCCGCAACGAGCGCAACCCUCGUCCUAUGUUGCCAGCGAGUAAUGUCGGGGACUCAUAGGAGACUGCCGGGGUCAACUCGGAGGAAGGUGGGGAUGACGUCAAAUCAUCAUGCCCCUUAAGUCCAGGGCUGCACACAUGCUACAAUGGCCGGUACAAAGGGCUGCGAAACCGCGAGGUGGAGCGAAUCCCAAAAAGCCGGUCUCAGUUCGGAUUGGGGUCUGCAACUCGACCCC
rnacentral:rRNA from 1 species